rnacentral:misc_RNA from 1 species
UUGAUUUUAGUUAUUUGUGAAGGUACUACGAACUUAACAAACAAUAUCUAUAGUCAAAAAAAAAUAAAUCA